AGGAUUUCACUCACUGCUUACAAUUAAGCUGAACGUGGAGCCCACAGUCCAGCCUGCAGGUUGGUCACUUCAGGUCUACACACAUGCUUGGAUGAGUCGACUUCAGUGACUGCGGAUACCAUUCUUAGUCUUCCAUGGGCAUUGCUGAUUAAUUCAUUGUAUUUCGAUUGGAUGCUGAGAAGGUGCUGCUGGCUUUCUUCUUGAGAUCUACUCCCGCAGAGCCUCCAGAUUUCUACAUUCCCUUAUUGAAGGGGCAAAGGGGGGACCUUCAUACGUUUGUGGAUCUUCACUGAAUCUCCAAGAUGGAUAGACCGUGAAUUUCCCUUCCUUUCUUUGACUCUAUCCUUGCAGCCCAUGGCUGACUGAGUAGUGACUCUUUAGUACGUCACCUUCCAUUCCACAUUCCAGACAACAACUACAGUGCCAACACAAUGCAGAGGCAAGUGGAGGUCAGAAUGCAUGAAAGCCAUUUGGAGCCCAUCGUGGAGCCUCCUCAGCCUAUGUGUUGGGGAAUAUGCAGCAAAAUCAUGAAUAACUUGGUCCUUUUCCUCACCAUCCUUGGUGUGAUCACAGGCUCUGUUUCUGGAAUACUACUGCGUCCCAUGUCGCCGCUCCCCCCUGAUGUGGUCAUGGUCAUCUCGUUCCCAGGAGACAUCCUGAUGAGGAUGCUGAAGAUGCUCAUCCUGCCCCUGAUCAUCUCCAGUCUCAU